UGGUGGGGGAGCCCACACCGGCCCUCUGAGUGAACCCCCGGUGUCCAAGCAGGCGGCAGCAGCCCAGGGGCCCCAAGCCUUUUCCCGUCCCUGGUCCCUGAUCCCCCAGGCACCCCGCUCCUCCCUCCCUCCUCCUGAGUCUUCUGUGUCUCUCUCCGGGGACCCCUGUCCCUGGAACUCUGUCUGGGCCUGGGUUGUGUGGCUCCCACUGAAUCUCUGUUCUGUCACUGUGAUUCCACCUUCUCCGUGGCUGUUUUGUCUCUGGAUUCUAAACCUCACACGCUCUCUGUCUCCCUUGCCCCGCACACAUGCUUGUGUCUGUCUCCUGCCCACAUCUGCCCCAUUUCUCUCUGGGUCCCUGUGACUGGAUUUCUGUUUUUUGCCGUUGUCCAUCCCAAAAGCAAGAGAAACUUCCAGCCACUGCUGCCCAUCUUCCUGCAGAGGAUGUUCGGCCCCAGACCUUCCCGCAUGGUUCCAUCCAUCACUCAUGGCCCUCCUGGCCUCCAGCAGAGAAAGGAAGCCAGCCCACCCCCAGGGGAGAGCUCCAGCACCACCCCACACAUACACACACACUUGGCUGCCUCCCUGGAGCUCUGCCAGGCUGUUGGCAUCCCAGCUCUGGGCAUUGUCUGUGUGCUUCCCAGGCCCCAGCGGGAGGGGAGGGGAAGGAAAUGGGGAGGCAGCUGGGGAAGGGGAAAGAGGGAGGAUGGGGAGGAGCCUCCAUCUCUAAUUUCAUAAUAAACAAACACUUUAUUUUGUAAA